rnacentral:rRNA from 1 species
AAUCAACGCUGGCGGCGCGCUUAACACAUGCAAGUCGAACGAGAAAGUCCGCAAGGAUGAGUACAGUGGCGUACGGGUGAGUAACACGUGGAUAAUCCACCUCUUUGUGGGGAAUAACUUUGGGAAACCGAAGCUAAUACCGCAUAAGCCUGAGAAGGGAAAGCCGAAAGGCGCAGAGAGAGGAGUCCGCGGCUGAUUAGCUAGUUGGUGGGGUAAGAGCCUACCAAGGCUGAGAUCGGUAGCCGGCCUGAGAGGGCACACGGCCACACUGGCACUGCAACACGGGCCAGACUCCUACGGGAGGCAGCAGUGGGGAAUCUUGCACAAUGGACGAAAGUCUGAUGCAGCGACGCCGCGUGCGCGAUGACGCCCUUCGGGGUGUAAAGCGCUUUCGGCUGGAACGAU